GGUUAAGUGACUAAGCGUACACGGUGGAUGCCUAGGCAGUCAGAGGCGAUGAAGGGCGUGCUAAUCUGCGAAAAGCGUCGGUAAGGUGAUAUGAACCGUUAUAACCGGCGAUACCCGAAUGGGGAAACCCAGUGUGUUUCGACACACUAUCAUGUCAUGAAUACAUAGUGGCAUGAGGCGAACCGGGGGAACUGAAACAUCUAAGUACCCCGAGGAAAAGAAAUCAACCGAGAUUCCCCCAGUAGCGGCGAGCGAACGGGGAGGAGCCCAGAACCUGAAUCGGCUUGUGUGUUAGUGGAAGCGUCUGGAAAGUCGCGCAGUAAAGGGUGAUAGCCCCGUACACUAAAAUGCACAGGUCGUGAGUUCGAUGAGUAGGGCGGGACACGUGACAUCCUGUCUGAAUAUGGGGGGACCAUCCUCCAAGGCUAAAUACUCCUGACUGACCGAUAGUGAACCAGUACCGUGAGGGAAAGGCGAAAAGAACCCCGGCGAGGGGAGUGAAAUAGAACCUGAAACCGUGUACGUACAAGCAGUGGGAGCACCUUCGUGGUGUGACUGCGUACCUUUUGUAUAAUGGGUCAGCGACUUAUAUUUUGUAGCAAGGUUAACCGUAUAGGGGAGCCGUAGGGAAACCGAGUCUUAACUGGGCGAAUAGUUGCAAGGUAUAGACCCGAAACCCGGUGAUCUAGCCAUGGGCAGGUUGAAGGUUGGGUAACACUAACUGGAGGACCGAACCGACUAAUGUUGAAAAAUUAGCGGAUGACUUGUGGCUGGGGGUGAAAGGCCAAUCAAACCGGGAGAUAGCUGGUUCUCCCCGAAAGCUAUUUAGGUAGCGCCUCGUGAACUCAUCUUCGGGGGUAGAGCACUGUUUCGGCUAGGGGGCCAUCCCGGCUUACCAAACCGAUGCAAACUCCGAAUACCGAAGAAUGUUAUCACGGGAGACACACGGCGGGUGCUAACGUCCGUCGUGAAGAGGGAAACAACCCAGACCGCCAGCUAAGGUCCCAAAGUCAUGGUUAAGUGGGAAACGAUGUGGGAAGGCAUAGACAGCCAGGAUGUUGGCUUAGAAGCAGCCAUCAUUUAAAGAAAGCGUAAUAGCUCACUGGUCGAGUCGGCCUGCGCGGAAGAUGUAACGGGGCUAAACCAUGCACCGAAGCUGCGGCAGCGACGCUUAGGCGUUGUUGGGUAGGGGAGCGUUCUGUAAGCCGUUGAAGGUGGCCUGUGAGGGUUGCUGGAGGUAUCAGAAGUGCGAAUGCUGACAUAAGUAACGAUAAAGCGGGUGAAAAGCCCGCUCGCCGGAAGACCAAGGGUUCCUGUCCAACGUUAAUCGGGGCAGGGUGAGUCGACCCCUAAGGCGAGGCUGAAAAGCGUAGUCGAUGGGAAACAGGUUAAUAUUCCUGUACUUGGUGUUACUGCGAAGGGGGGACGGAGAAGGCUAGGCUAGCCGGGCGACGGUUGUCCCGGUUUAAGCGUGUAGGGGGUGUGACCUGGUAAAUCCGGUUGCAUAUUAACCCUGAGGCGUGAUGACGAUGCACUACGGUGCAGAAGUAGUUGAUGCCCUGCUUCCAGGAAAAUCCUCUAAGCAUCAGGUAACAUUAAAUCGUACCCCAAACCGACACAGGUGGUCAGGUAGAGAAUACCAAGGCGCUUGAGAGAACUCGGGUGAAGGAACUAGGCAAAAUGGUGCCGUAACUUCGGGAGAAGGCACGCUGGCAUGUAGGUGAAGUCCCUUGCGGAUGGAGCUGAAGCCAGUCGAAGAUACCAGCUGGCUGCAACUGUUUAAUAAAAACACAGCACUGUGCAAACACGAAAGUGGACGUAUACGGUGUGACGCCUGCCCGGUGCUGGAAGGUUAAUUGAUGGGGUCAGCCGCAAGGCGAAGCUCUUGAUCGAAGCCCCAGUAAACGGCGGCCGUAACUAUAACGGUCCUAAGGUAGCGAAAUUCCUUGUCGGGUAAGUUCCGACCUGCACGAAUGGCGUAAUGAUGGCCAGGCUGUCUCCACCCGAGACUCAGUGAAAUUGAACUCGCUGUGAAGAUGCAGUGUACCCGCGGCAAGACGGAAAGACCCCGUGAACCUUUACUAUAGCUUGACACUGAACAUUGAGCCUUGAUGUGUAGGAUAGGUGGGAGGCUUUGAAGCGUGGACGCCAGUCUGCGUGGAGCCAUCCUUGAAAUACCACCCUUUAAUGUUUGAUGUUCUAACUCGGCCCCAUAAUCUGGGGUGAGGACAGUGUCUGGUGGGUAGUUUGACUGGGGCGGUCUCCUCCCAAAGAGUAACGGAGGAGCACGAAGGUUAGCUAAUCACGGUCGGACAUCGUGAGGUUAGUGCAAAGGCAUAAGCUAGCUUGACUGCGAGAGUGACGGCUCGAGCAGGUACGAAAGUAGGUCUUAGUGAUCCGGUGGUUCUGAAUGGAAGGGCCAUCGCUCAACGGAUAAAAGGUACUCCGGGGAUAACAGGCUGAUACCGCCCAAGAGUUCAUAUCGACGGCGGUGUUUGGCACCUCGAUGUCGGCUCAUCACAUCCUGGGGCUGAAGUAGGUCCCAAGGGUAUGGCUGUUCGCCAUUUAAAGUGGUACGCGAGCUGGGUUUAGAACGUCGUGAGACAGUUCGGUCCCUAUCUGCCGUGGGCGUUGGAAGAUUGAGAGGGGUUGCUCCUAGUACGAGAGGACCGGAGUGAACGCACCACUGGUGUUCGGGUUGUCAUGCCAAUGGCAUUGCCCGGUAGCUAAGUGCGGAAAAGAUAAGCGCUGAAAGCAUCUAAGCGCGAAACUUGCCUCAAGAUGAGUCUUCCCUGGGCCUUUAAGGCCCCUGAAGGAACGUUUAAGACUAAGACGUUGAUAGGCUGGGUGUGUAAGUGCAGCGAUG
rnacentral:rRNA from 1 species